rnacentral:rRNA from 1 species
AUACGUAGGGGGCGAGCGUUAUCCGGAUUCAUUGGGUUUAAAGGGUGCGCAGGCGGCCGUGCAAGUCAGCGGUGAAAGCCCGGGGCUCAACCCCGGAAGUGCCGUUGAUACUGCAUGGCUGGAAUGCGGUCGAGGCGGGCGGGACGUGGCGUGGAGCGGUGGAAAGCGUAGAUAUGCCACAGAACGCCGAUAGCGGAGGCAGCUCGCCAGGCCUGCAUUGACGCUCGGGCACGAAAGCGUGGGGAUCGAACAGGAUUAGAUACCCUGGUAGUCCACGCCGUAAACGAUGGGCGCUCGUCGUCGGCGGCAGACAGUCGGCGGCCAAGCGAAAGCGAUAAGCGCCCCACCUGGGGAGUACGGUCGCAAGGCUGAAACUCAAAUGAAUUGACGGGG